AUUGAACGCUGGCGGCAGGCCUAACACAUGCAAGUCGAACGAGUGGCGGACGGGAGAGUAAUGUCUGGGAAACUGCCUGAUGGAGGGGGAUAACUACUGGAAACGGUAGCUAAUACCGCAUACCAUCAAAUGUGCCCCGCUGGGAUUGGCUAGUAGGUGGGGUAAUGGCUCACAUAGGCGACGAUCCCUAGCUGGUCUGCGAGGCUGACCAGCCACACUGUAACUUAGACACGGUCCAGACUCCUACGGGAGGCAGCAGUGGGGAAUAUUGCACAAUGGGCGCAAGCCUGAUGCAGCCAUGCCGAGUGUGUGAAGAAGGCUUUCGGGUUGUAAAGCACUUUCAUCGAGGAGGCGUUACUCGCAGAAGAAGCACCGGCUAACUCCGUGCCAGCAGCCGCGGUAAUAC
rnacentral:rRNA from 1 species